rnacentral:rRNA from 1 species
GAUGAACGCUGGCGGCGUGCCUAAUACAUGCAAGUCGAGCGAACAGACGAGGAGCUUGCUCCUCUGACGUUAGCGGCGGACGGGUGAGUAACACGUGGAUAACCUACCUAUAAGACUGGGAUAACUUCGGGAAACCGGAGCUAAUACCGGAUAACAUGUUGAACCGCAUGGUUUAACAGUGAAAGACGGUCUUGCUGUCACUUAUAGAUGGAUCCGCGCCGCAUUAGCUAGUUGGUAAGGUAACGGCUUACCAAGGCAACGAUGCAUAGCCGACCUGAGAGGGUGAUCGGCCACACUGGAACUGAGACACGGUCCAGACUCCUACGGGAGGCAGCAGUAGGGAAUCUUUCGCAAUGGGCGAAAGCCUGACGGAGCAACGCCGCGUGAGUGAAGAAGGUCUUCGGAUCGUAGAACUCUGUUAUUAGGGAAGAACAAAUGUGUAAGUAACUAUGCACGUCUUGACGGUACCUAAUCAGAAAGCCACGGCUAACUACGUG